AGUUCUUCCUUUUGAAGUAAUUAAUUCACUUUUAGGAUAUCUCGCCAACUAUUGAUUGAGAAAUUAAGAAGAAGAAAAAAAUCCUCCGUCAUGUUCCAGUAUCUAGAAUAAGAAUUGUAGCUUUCAUAUCCUUUAUAUACCUAUGCCAUAAACGUUACAAAGGCAACACCAAUUCUCUACACUCCAGUGAAGCAACUCCCUAACCAAGUCUAGAAGGGAACUCGUUAGAAACAAGCUGUGAAGUGAAAGUAAACCAACGUUAAGUGGAGAUGAUUGAAAUUCCACCUCAAGUCAUAAUCUCGGACCCGAGGUAAGCAGGUAGACGGGCUCGGUUCUUAGAAGCUUCACCAGCGGUUCACAGAGAGUUCUCCAGUCAUUCCGGAGCCACUGUUUAUUGGUGCACAGGGAGACAGACUUGAUCCAUAGCUGCUUAUUCAGAGAUUACAUAGCGGAGCUCCAUUUCCUUCGGAGCCAUAGCUUUUGGGUACUUAUUCUUUUGUGUAUAUAAUUAUGGGCAUAGCGGGGUCCUGUCCCGCUAAUGUGAUAUGUUUUACUCUUCUUAGAGGCUCGUAGUCACGUGUAUAUGGCUAGAUAUGUCUGGCCUUGCCGGCCUAUAUUUUGUAUAUCAUUUUGUUGGCCUCGGCGGCCCAUGUACAUUGUUGUGGCACAUAUGCCUAUGAUGAUUGAAGAUGUUGUCGUCCAAUGGGACUAGCAUGGUCGAUGCUUAGAAAUGUAUGAUUAGUGAUGUGGCUCACCUAGAUGCAAGUCUAAGUGUAAGCUAAGGGGGUGCCCGAGUGGGCUAGCACCGGGUGCUCGUCGCGGCCCCCUAGUCGGGUCGUGACAAGGAUGAUAUAU